GACGAACGCUGGCGGCGUGCUUAACACAUGCAAGUCGAGCGGUAAGGCCCUUUCGGGGGUACACGAGCGGCGAACGGGUGAGUAACACGUGGGUGACCUGCCCUCAGCUCUGGGAUAAGCCUGGGAAACCGGGUCUAAUACUGGACAUGACUCCAUGACGCAUGUUGUGGGGUGGAAAGCCUUGUGCGGCUGAGGAUGGGCCCGCGGCCUAUCAGCUUGUUGGUGGGGUGANGGCCUACCAAGGCGACGACGGGUAGCCGGCCUGAGAGGGCGACCGGCCACACUGGGACUGAGACACGGCCCAGACUCCUACGGGAGGCAGCAGUGGGGAAUCUUGCGCAAUGGGCGAAAGCCUGACGCAGCAACGCCGCGUGGGGAUGAA
rnacentral:rRNA from 1 species